rnacentral:rRNA from 1 species
GUCGUAACAAGGUUUCCGUAGGUGAACCUGCGGAAGGAUCAUUAUUGAAUAAACUUGGUUGGGUUGUUGCUGGCUCUUCGGAGCAUGUGCACGCUCACUCCAUUUUUAACCACCUGUGCACCUUGUGUAGAUCUGAACCACUCUCGGGGAAACUCGGUCAGAGGAUUGCUGUGUAUAAAAGCCAGCUUUUCUUGGGUUCAGAUCUAUGUCUCUAUAUACUCCAUAAGAAUGUAUUAGAAUGUAAUUGAUAGGCGUUAUAGCCUUUAAAAUCAAAUACAACUUUCAACAACGGAUCUCUUGGCUCUCGCAUCGAUGAAGAACGCAGCGAAAUGCGAUAAGUAAUGUGAAUUGCAGAAUUCAGUGAAUCAUCGAAUCUUUGAACGCACCUUGCGCUCCUUGGUAUUCCGAGGAGCAUGCCUGUUUGAGUGUCGUGAAAUUCUCAACCUCUCUGGCUUUUAUAAGCCAGUUAGGCUUGGAUCUUGGAGGUUGCUGGCUUCUCAGAAAUCAGCUCUUCUUAAAUAUAUUAGCAAAGUCUUUGCUGACCAUCUUUGGUAUGAUAAUUAUCUAUAUCAUUGAGAAUCAGCUUCCGUCUUGGAAGGGUUUUGCUUCUAAUGGUCUGUAUAGACAACUUGACAAUUUGACCUCAAAUCAGGUAGGACUACCCGCUGAACUUAAGCAUAUC